GGAUAGACGAUUGCAAUUAUUCGUCUUCAACGAGGAAUUCUAGUAAAUGCAAGUCAUCAGCUGCGUUGAUUACGUCCUGCCCUUUGUACACACCGCCCGUCGCUCCUACAGAUUGAGUGAUCCGGUGAGCUGUCCGGACUGCGAUUAGUUCAGUUUCUGUUCUCUUCGCGGGAAGUUCUGCAAACCUUAUCACUUAGAGGAAGGAGAAGUCGUAACAAGGUUUCCGUAGGUGAACCUGCGGAAGGAUCAUUC
rnacentral:ncRNA from 1 species